AUUCUGGCUCAGGACGAACGCUGGCGGCGUGCCUAACACAUGCAAGUCGAACGGAACUUCUUUAAAGGAUUUCUUCGGAAUGAAUUUGAUUAAGUUUAGUGGCGGACGGGUGAGUAACGCGUGAGUAACCUGCCUCUAAGAGGGGAAUAACAUUCUGAAAAGAAUGCUAAUACCGCAUAAUAUAUAUUUAUCGCAUGGUAGAUAUAUCAAAGAUUUAUCGCUUAGAGAUGGACUCGCGUCCGAUUAGUUAGUUGGUGAGGUAACGGCUCACCAAGACCGCGAUCGGUAGCCGGACUGAGAGGUUGAACGGCCACAUUGGGACUGAGACACGGCCCAGACUCCUACGGGAGGCAGCAGUGGGGGAUAUUGCGCAAUGGGGGAAACCCUGACGCAGCAACGCCGCGUGAAGGAUGAAGGUCUUCGGAUUGUAAACUUCUUUUAUUAAGGAUGAAGAAAGUGACGGUACUUAAUGAAUAAGCUCCGGCUAACUACGUGCCAGCAGCCGCGGUAAUACGUAGGGAGCAAGCGUUGUCCGGAUUUACUGGGUGUAAAGGGUGCGUAGGCGGCUUUGCAAGUCAGAUGUGAAAUCUAUGGGCUCAACCCAUAGCCUGCAUUUGAAACUGCAGAGCUUGAGUGAAGUAGAGGCAGGCGGAAUUCCCCGUGUAGCGGUGAAAUGCGUAGAGAUGGGGAGGAACACCAGUGGCGAAGGCGGCCUGCUGGGCUUUAACUGACGCUGAGGCACGAAAGCGUGGGUAGCAAACAGGAUUAGAUACCCUGGUAGUCCACGCUGUAAACGAUGAUUACUAGGUGUGGGGGGUCUGACCCCUUCCGUGCCGGAGUUAACACAAUAAGUAAUCCACCUGGGGAGUACGGCCGCAAGG
rnacentral:rRNA from 1 species